rnacentral:rRNA from 1 species
AAAAAAAUAAAAGUAUCGAUGUGUAAUAUAGAAACUAACAUCAAAUAAUUUAGUAUUUUAAAGGAGUUAUUAAGGAAAAACAAGCAAAUUUAUAAAAAAGGAGGGUAUAGACCUAAUGCUAUAUUAAAAUUAAAUAGCAAUCCUAAGGGAAACCUUUUAUAAAAUACUUCCUGAAGUAAAUCAUUUUAGUAAGGAAAGGAAAGGAAAUCAACCGAGACUCCGAAAGUAAUGGUGAGUGAAAUCGGACUAGCCUAAAAUUAAACAAAGAAAGUGAAAAAAAAAAUAAUGAAUUUAUUCAUUAGGCCAAAGAAGGUAAAUACAUUAGUCCUGUAACUUUAAUUGUUUAAAAAUAAAUAAGUACAACGAGAGAUAACUUGUUGGAAUAUAGGGGAACCAUCCUCUAAGGCUAAGUAUUAUAAAUUUAGCGAUAGUGAAAAAGUACUGUAAAGGAAAGUUUGAAAAAGUAUAAGAUUUAGAUUCUUAUUUGAAAAAGUCUUGAAUUAGUAACUCUAUAAGCAGUCGAAGUUUUAAAUUUCAUUAAAAUGACGGCGUACCUUUUGCAUAAUGGGUCAGCAAGUUAAUAAAAAUAGCAAGGUUAAAAGCCUUAGCGAAAGCGACUAAACUAACACAUAAAUAAAAUAGUUAUAUUUUUAACUUGAAAUCUUUGAUUUUAAAUUAGAAUAAUACCUUUUUGUCAAUAUUUUUUAUAUUCAAGGAGUUAUUAUUUAUUUAUAAAGUUUUGGGUGAGUUAUUUUUAUUAGACCCGAAGCUAGAUGAUCUUUCCAGGGCCAGAUUAUAAUGGAUCGAACGGGUGAAUGUUGCAUAAUUCUCCGAUGAGUUCUGGAAAGCGGUGAAAUGCCAACCUAAUCUAGUGAUAGCUGGUAUUCUUCGAAACAUAUGUAAGUAUGACACUUAUUCAAGAUUUAUGGAGGUACAGCACGUGAAUUUCGAACAAGUAAAAUUAUUUUUAAUUUUAGGCGUUUAGGUUGAGGGGAUCUUGACAAUCUUACCAAUGAAAAUCAAACUCGGAAGUACAUAAAUUGAUGAUAAGUAUUCAGACUGCUCAUGAUAAGUUGGGUAGUCAAGACGAAAACAGUCGAGAACACAUAUUAAGGUCCCUAAUGGUUAUUAAGUGAAAUUAAGGAUGUCACAUGUUGUAUGCAGCUGUAAAGUGAGCCUGGUAGUCGCUACUUAUAAUGAUCGUUUGUAACAACGCAUCAGCUCUUAGAUUGUGGCACCGAAAAUUUAACGGGUCUUAAAUAAUCAACCGAUAUUGUGUUGUUUAAGAAAAAUUUAUUUUAUACUUUAUAUUUUAAAUUCUAAAUUUUAUACACCCUAUUUUUCUUAAACUAGGUAGAAGAACAUUCAGAAACGGAAGAAAAACAGUGUUUCAUUGUUUUGGACGAACUGAAGAGAGAAUGCUGACAUGAGUAACGUAAAAAGAAGUUUUAAUACUUCUCGCCGAAUACGAAAGGGUUUUGAAGAAAGGUUAAACCGCUUCAUUUUAAAUGCGGGCCUCUAAGAUACAGAACCAAUGUUCUGAUUGAUGAGUGAAGCCUAAAUUAGGCAAUGUAAAUGAUAGCAUAAUCCAAAUGGGAAAAUGGAUCAAGAAAAUAAUAUCAUACAUAUUAUUAUUUUAUUUUAAUAAUAUUAUUUUAACUUUAUAAAGGUACAUCAUUUUUAUAGGUGUUUAAAUUGAUGAAAGUUAAAAGGUCAUACUACCGUACCCUAAUCCGACACAGGUUCGUAGGUAGAGAAUACUAAGGCGUAGAGCUAAAAGUUGUAAAGGAACUCGGCAAGUUGUCCUCAUAAGUUUGACGAUAAGAGGAACCAAUAAAGAUAAUAUACAGUUAAGCAAUACUUAUUAAGCAAUCAACACUCUUAUUUUUUGUUUCAAAUUUGUAUUGUGUAAACUUACUCUUAUCCUGCCUCUUCACUUAAUUUCUUUUUUAAGUGUAAUGCCUUUCUUUUUUUGAUUGAAAGAUAAUUUUAUGUAAUGUAAAAUGACAGAGAUAAUUAGAGUAAGAUAAGCUGUUUAUUGCUCACCAAAUCUAUUUAAUGCUUUAUUUAAUAGUACAAAGUUUUGUAUUAAUAUUGAAAGUGGAGAGAUUACAUUUCAAUAUUGUCUUUAAUGGAUUUUUUCUUGUUAAAGUUAAAUAUUUAGUGCUAAAUAGAUGCCCCUUUUCAAGGAGGGAAGUAGUUAUUAUCCACCCAUGGAAUAUUUAAAGAAAUCUUUAAAAUUGGUGUCACAGAAUCGGAGGCCUCGACUGUUUACUAAAAACACAAGAAUGUGCAAUGAUGAAAGUCAUAGUAUACGUUCUGAAAUUUGCUCGAUGCCAUUAAUAUAAAAGAGGUAAUAGGUAACUGUUACUAAUUGAAAGUCUGGUUAAUAGCGGUCUUAACUAUGAGGAUCCUAAGGUAGCGAAAUCAAUUGGCCAUUAAAUGUGGUCCGGUAUCAAUAAUGUAACGAAGGUCUCACUGUCUCUACAACUUGCUCAGUGAAAUUGAAUUACCCGUGCAGAUGCGGGUUACCCUCAGUGGGACGGGAAGACCCUAUGCAGCUUUACUGUAGUUAGUUAUCACACUGAUUUAGAACAGCCUCAAACAAUAGUGAUUAGGUAGCCGAAAUCGAACAUCACUGUUCGAUAGUCUUCUUUUUUUAAGAGUUGAUUGGCGUUUUGUGGAAACCUUCAGAUUGAGGCUGAGUCAGUGUUCACCUUUAUUUAAUUUAGGGAGAGUUGACUAAUUGGCAGUUUGACUGGGGCGGUCGUCUUUAAUAAAGUAGCAAAGUACAUCCAACGAUAUAAAUAAAAUUAUUCUUAGUAAAAUAAGAAUCAAACAAAAAAAUAUAGAUUUAACUUCUGCUUUGCUUAGGUUAAAAUCAGUAAUUUAACAAAUCGCACUUAUUUAAUUAAAGGUAUAGCUAGAAAUUGAAUGGAGAUCAAUCAAUCAGUGUAAAGAUUGCGCAGAGUGUAAUGGCGGAAAGCAUGCCUAACUGAAAGACUUAAAAGUCGCCCAGAUACGUAAGUAGGGCAUAGUGACCCCUCGCUAUAAAAUGGAAUAGACGGGGAUCAUUUGAUAAAAGUUACGCUAGGGAUAACAGGCUGAUAGCCGGCGAGAGUACACAUUGUCCCGGCUGAUUGGCACCUCGAUGUCGAUUCAUCCUAUCCUCCGGGGGAAGAAGCUUGGAAGGGUUGGGCUGUUCGCCCAUUAAAAGGGUACGUGAAUUGGGUUUAAUACGACGUGAGUCAGUAUGGUCCCUAUCUUCUGAGGGUAUAAUUAGUAAAAAGGGGCAGACCUUCUAGUACGAAAGGAUCAAUAGGCUGUGUUUCCAUAGUGUACCAAUUGUUGAAAUAAUUGAAAUAAACUUUUAAAGCAUUAUUUCAAUUGUGUGGUGAAUUCUUACUUUAGUUUAGCAAUAAACUAUAUAAAGUAGGUUUAUUAUUGACAAUUUAUAAUAAAUUUCACCUUAAAAUUCUUUUUAAUUCUUUAAAAUGAAUAUAUAUUUUGGCACAGUUGGGUAGCCACAAACAUAAUAGAUAAAUGCUGAAAGUAUAUCAAGCAAGAAUCUACCCUCUAGAUACUAACAAUAAUAUUAAUGAGUAAAAUCAUUAAAUUUAUUAUUAAGAUAAGAAAUAGAACAUUUCUUAGUUAGGAUGUAAAUGAAAGUUGCUGAAAAGCAUUAAGUUUA